GCCAUGUGAUGAUAUGAAGGCUGUUGUGAUUCAGCUGGCUUGGCUAAGCCCUGGGGCCCCUGACAUCUUCAGGUCUGUAAUCUUGGUGGGCGAUACAGAGCAGUGUCCGUCCGCUGUAAGGGCAGACCAACAGAAACGACUUCCUGCUUUGGAGCUAAUCUCUCUGACCGAGGUCACUCUUCCGGUUGCUGGGGAGAGUUGUGGUAACUGGAGUGAGAAAGCAGGGACAGGGCACAUCUCGUUAGCUGGAGUCAGGGGUCUCUGAGGACUUAGCUCAUUAGCACGGCCGCUGAGAGAUGAAACACAGAUCUUUGGUAAUCUGAUGGCU